ACCGCUUUAACGGUGAAACUGCGAAUGGCUCAUUAAAUCAGUUAUAGUUUAUUUGAUAGUCCCUUUUACUACUCGGAUAACCGUAGUAAAUCUAGAGCUAAUACGUGCGGAAAGGGCCGACUGGGGGGGGCAACCCCUUCGGAAGGCUCGUAUUUAUUAGAUACCAAACCGAUACGGGGCAUCCCAAACCGGCGAGGGGAAGACGGCGGCGGGCGACCGUCGUCGCCUCUCCCCUCGUCGGGUCCCGGUUCCUACUCGGUGAUUCAUGAUAACUUCGCGAAUCGCACGGCCUUGCGCCGGCGAUGAUUCAUUCGAAUUUCUGCCCUAUCAACUUUCGAUGGUAAGAUAGAGGCUUACCAUGGUGAUAACGGGUAACGGAGAAUUAGGGUUCGAUUCCGGAGAGGGAGCCUGAGAAACGGCUACCACUUCUAAGGAAGGCAGCAGGCGCGCAAAUUACCCAAUCCCGACACGGGGAGGUAGUGACAAUAAAUACCGAUACAGGUCUCUUUACGAGACUUGUAAUUGGAAUGAGAACAAUUCAAACCCCUUAACGAGGAACAAUUGGAGGGCAAGUCUGGUGCCAGCAGCCGCGGUAAUUCCAGCUCCAAUAGCGUAUAUUAAAGUUGUUGCAGUUAAAAAGCUCGUAGUUGAAUUUUGGAACGGGGCGAGGGGGCGAAAACCCUCUCGUCCGUACGGCGCCGGUCCGCCCCGAAGGGCGAGCACUGGUCCGUGCGUUCCCUCCUACCGGAGGCUCGCUCCUGCUCUUCGUUGAGUGGGAGUAUUCUCCAGGGGAGCGGGUGCGAAACCUCCUCGGAGGACCUUCGUCCGCUCUUUUUCCUGGGUUUCGUCGGGGCCGAGGGCCCCCCCUCGUCGAGGGACUCUUCGUCCCGCGGCGUAGGGGGGGUCGUCAAACGUCGGUUCCGGCGGAGCUCCGGUUCGUUUACCUUGAAUAAAUUAGAGUGUUCAAAGCAGGCAAGCACACGCCUAGAUACUUUAGCAUGGGAUAAUAGAAUAGGACUUGGGUUCUAUUUUCGUUGGUUCUUAGGACCGAAGUAAUGAUUAAUAGGGACGGUCGGGGGCAUUAGUAUUUAAUUGUCAGAGGUGAAAUUCUCGGAUUUAGGAAAGACUGACUUCAGCGAAAGCAUUUGCCAAGGACGUUUUCAUUAAUCAAGAACGAAAGUUAGGGGAUCGAAGACGAUCAGAUACCGUCGUAGUCUUAACCAUAAACGAUGCCGACCAGGGAUCGGGAGACGUUACCUCGAUGACUCUCCCGGCACCUUGCGGGAAACCACAAGUCUUUGGGUUCCGGGGGGAGUAUGGUCGCAAGGCUGAAACUUAAAGGAAUUGACGGAAGGGCACCACCAGGAGUGGAGCCUGCGGCUUAAUUUGACUCAACACGGGGAAACUUACCAGGUCCGGACAUAGGAAGGAUUGACAGAUCGAUAGCUCUUUCUUGAUUCUAUGGGUGGUGGUGCAUGGCCGUUCUUAGUUGGUGGAGCGAUUUGUCUGGUUAAUUCCGUUAACGAACGAGACCUCGGCCUGCUAAAUAGCCGUGCGAACCCUUCCGCCCCAAAGAGGAUACGGCUCGGGGGGAGUCACGUCGGCUUCUACUUGCCCCUUCGCGGGGGAGAGAGGGGAGUCGGCGCCCUCCGCGGUCGCCCUCUGGUGGGGUUCGUAAAGGCGCUUCUUAGAGGGACUAUGCAAUCCCAGUGCAUGGAAGUUCGAGGCAAUAACAGGUCUGUGAUGCCCUUUAGAUGUUAUGGGCCGCACGCGCGCUACACUGACAAGCUCAACGAGCGUAACUUCUCCUUGGCCGGAAGGUCCGGGUAAUCUUGGAAAGCUUGUCGUGCUGGGGAUAGAUCCUUGCAAUUAUGGAUCUUCAACGAGGAAUUCCUAGUAAGCGCGAGUCAUCAGCUCGCGUUGAUUACGUCCCUGCCCUUUGUACACACCGCCCGUCGCUCCUACCGAUUGAACGGUCCGGUGAAGUCUUCGGAGCACGGUUCACGCUCGGUCGGGGCAACUCGGCCGGGUAGGAUCGCGCAAAGUCGACUAAACCUUAUCGUUUAGAGGAA
rnacentral:rRNA from 1 species